GGUUUCAUGGUGUAGUUGGUUAUCACGCGACCUUAACAAGGCUCUUCUUGAGCACUGUCCGGUCGAGGUCUUGAGUUCGAUCCUCAAUGAAAUCA